UACGUAGGGGGCAAGCGUUGUCCGGAAUUAUUGGGCGUAAAGCGCGCGUAGGCGGUUUCUUAAGUCUGAUGUGAAAUCUUGCGGCUCAACCGCAAGCGGUCAUUGGAAACUGGGGAACUUGAGUGCAGAAGAGGAGAGUGGAAUUCCACGUGUAGCGGUGAAAUGCGUAGAUAUGUGGAGGAACACCAGUGGCGAAGGCGACUCUCUGGUCUGUAACUGACGCUGAGGUGCGAAAGCGUGGGGAGCGAACAGG
rnacentral:rRNA from 1 species